AUAAAAUUGAGAGCAGGAAAAAGAGAUGGAUGUGAACCGCUUUGAGUUCACUGUAAGAAAGAAGGUGGGAUAUAAAUCUAAUAAAUAAAUAAAAAAAUGGUUCUUAUGG